AGGUCCUGGAAGAGGCCAGUCGCAUUGCAAAGCAGCUGCUGCGGGAGAGCUGGGCUGCCCAGCGGCUGCCGGCGCAGAGGUGCAGGACAAGCCCUUGUGCACCAGCAUCUUGCACUUGCAGUGGAGCUGGGGCACACAGUGAUUUCCAGAGUCCUAGCUCAGCUGGCUGCAAGGCAGGAUCUCCUCCCAGGCCUCGGGCAGCUUUUCCAGUCUGUCGGGUCAGGCUGCCUGUUUUGUGGCUACCAGUGCCCAGCUCAGUCUGUCUCCCAAGCAUGGAGUUGCAUAUGGGGAGUGGGACAACGUACAUGGAGCACAGUGAUGAUGAGGGAGCCCAGAAGCACAUGAAGAGUGAAUGAACUGGAUGGCCCAGUUAUAUUGCCAGAAUGCAGCAUUAAGGAGUGCUGCAUAAUCCUCUACAAGACUGCUUCUUCCUCAUAGCUCAGCCAGAUGGGCAAGUAGAGGGAUGAAGACUUUUCAUAGAAACCUUCAGCUGAUCUGCCUGGGUUAUACAGCAAAUAGCUGGGAGAAGAAGGAAGAAUGAAACAUGACAGUUCUUCAGGUAGUUGCUACUUGUAAAAAUGUUCUGACUCAAAAUACUGUUUAAUCACACUAGAAGUGAGGCACCUACCUUGUUAGCAGAGAUUAGGAGUGUUGCGUAGUAAAGCUCUGUUGCACAAAACAGAACUUCCACUGACGCAAUCUGGAUGGUAUAUUUCAAAAUAUUAAUCAAGGAUUAGUCCUUGGCACGGACUUAUGAAAAAAUAUUAAUGCAACUGAGGAUUUAUAACCCAUGUAAAUAAUUCAUGGAGUACAUGUUUUAUGAGACAGGUCCUUGGCUUGUGUAAGCUGGAGCAGGGCCUUGAAGCACAAACAGCUGGGCAAUGCCAAGCGAACCACGCAGCCCAGAGAGCGUGUGCCCUCCUGAGCAAGGCUUGGCGGGGAGGUGGGGGCACAGCUGUGAUGCUUUCCAUCUCCCUUGCAGCCCCUGCCCCUCUGGCUGUAUCCAUAGCAGGCCACCAAAAGGAGAAUCCACCCCUCCGAUUGCAGUAACUCCUUCUGCUUUGUGCAAAGUUGUCUAGAUCAACAAUUUUCAGCCUGGACAAACAGGAAAGGUAAUUUGUUUGCAAACAUACUGAUGGAGAAGCACAGAGCAGCGGAUGGAAGGAGUGACAAUCUACUGCCAUGCCCCUGUCACAGGACUGCGUCCUGCAGCUGAGCCAACACAGCGUGACCAACACAUUGCAUCAGUAGGCCAGGAGUUAUUUUUCAAGCAGGGACAUGGACUAAGUGCUGAGGAAUUGGGGACAGAAGGUCCUCUCCUCUUAGGCUGCAGGAUGUGCAGGGUGACACAGGGUGACCUGGUAACUCCAGUACUUGGGCUCAUUCCUUCCUACAUGGCCUUGGAAAAGCAAAGUCAUGUGAGAGUCCCACUGGGGUUUCUCCUUCCCCUCAAGGAAGGGGAGGAGGUUUUGCAAGAGCCACCCCUCUCAGGUGGCCAAGCAGCAGCACUGAUGUGAGCUGUGGAAGUGCUUUCUGUAAUACUAACGCAGCCCUGUAGAGGGAAUGCUUUGGUAAGACUUAAAUGAUGCUAUAUAUCACUAUACAAUAUCAAGGAUCAAAUUUAUUUGUGGUGUCACCUGCUGAGUUCAGGCAUUAUCAUCAGGAGGAAUUUUGUCCAGUAGUUUUUUUCUAAAUUACUUAUCACACUUUAAAAUUUCAUUCCUGAUUAAAGAGGUGGAAGUGUCUAUUUGAUUCAAUGCAAGUGAUAGGCUUUGAUGCUCUGUUACCUGGGAAUAAAAAGAUUAAGACGACAUGCAUAUUAAAAGUGCUUUUCACUCAGUGCCUGCAAAAGGCCCCAUGGCCAAAUGUAACAGACCAAAUCUGUAGCGUGUUAUGAACUUCUGUUGCUCUUCAUCUUAAAUUGGCACAGGAGAAUCAUAAUUCCUUCAGAACAACAGUGGGAAACAGGGUUUGUUAACUGUAAACAAAAAGCAGAA